UUGUAAAAUUCUAUUGUAUUAAUGGUUUUAAUUUUACCUUUUGCAUAAUGGUUUAAUUAAAAGUUAAAAAUUUUUGUUUCCCGAAAUAAAAGGAUCUAAUUAUUUAAUUUAUUAUAUGUUUUAAAAUAUAGUUUUUAUUUUUUAUUAGGUGUGAAAGGCUAAACAAUUUUUAUGAUAUCUGGAUUGAGUUUAAAUGUAUUAAGUACAGACUAUGUGUUGACUAAGCCACUUUUAAGGGGGGCUUAGUUAAAAGAAAGUUAGAUAAUAAAUAAAUAUAUUUGGAUAAUUCUUUAAUAAUAUUUAAACUUAUUUAGAUUUUUUUUUACUUGCUUAUUCUUUUUAAUAUGCUCUAAAAUUUUAAAAUAAUAAAUUUUUUUAAAAAUGUUAAAAUAAGUAUUAAUUUUUAAUUUAUUUUUAGGAACUCGGCAAAACACUUACUCAACUGUUUAUCAAAAACAUAGUUUUAUGAGAUUAUAUAAAAUGAAACCUGCCCAAUGAUAAGUUCAAUGGCCGCAGUACUUUAACUGUGCUAAGGUAGCAUAAUAAUUUGGCUUUUAAUUAAAGUCUGGCAUGAAAGGAUUUAUGGGUAAAAGCUGUCUUUUUUUAAGUUUUAAAAACUUACUUUAAAAGGUGAAAAUUCCUUUGAUUAUUUUAAUAGACGAGAAGACCCUAGGAGUUUAAAUUUUGUUGGGGCGACAUUUCAGUAAUAUAUUAACCUAUUAAAUUUAUUUAAAACGACUAUAUUAAUUAUAAUUAAACUACCCUAGGGAUAACAGCAUAAUUUUUAAAAAGUUUGUGACCUCGAUGUUGGACUAGG
rnacentral:rRNA from 1 species